rnacentral:rRNA from 1 species
UACGGAGGGGGCUAGCGUUGUUCGGAAUUACUGGGCGUAAAGCGCGCGUAGGCGGCUUCGCAAGUCAGAGGUGAAAGCCCGGGGCUCAACCCCGGAAUUGCCUUUGAGACUGCGUCGCUAGAAUCCGGGAGAGGUGAGUGGAAUUCCGAGUGUAGAGGUGAAAUUCGUAGAUAUUCGGAAGAACACCAGUGGCGAAGGCGGCUCACUGGACCGGCAUUGACGCUGAGGUGCGAAAGCGUGGGGAGCAAAC